GGCGAGAUGGCCGAGCGGUCUAAGGCGCUGGAAUCAGGAUCCAGUCCGAAAGGGCGUGGGUUCGAAUCCCACUCUCGUCA
rfam:Fomitiporia mediterranea MF3/22 unplaced genomic scaffold FOMMEscaffold_1, whole genome shotgun sequence.